AACGAACGCUGGCGGCAUGCCUAACACAUGCAAGUCGAACGAAGCCUUCGGGCUUAGUGGCGCACGGGUGCGUAACACGUGGGAAUCUGCCCUUCGGUUCGGAAUAACAGUUAGAAAUGACUGCUAAUACCGGAUGAUGACGUAAGUCCAAAGAUUUAUCGCCGAAGGAUGAGCCCGCGUAGGAUUAGGUAGUUGGUAGGGUAAUGGCCUACCAAGCCGACGAUCCUUAGCUGGUCUGAGAGGAUGAUCAGCCACACUGGGACUGAGACACGGCCCAGACUCCUACGGGAGGCAGCAGUGGGGAAUAUUGGACAAUGGGCGAAAGCCUGAUCCAGCAAUGCCGCGUGAGUGAUGAAGGCCUUAGGGUUGUAAAGCUCUUUUACCAGGGAUGAUAAUGACAGUACCUGGAGAAUAAGCUCCGGCUAACUCCGUGCCAGCAGCCGCGGUAAUGUCUG
rnacentral:rRNA from 1 species